rnacentral:rRNA from 1 species
CCUACGGGCGGCUGCAGUGAGGAAUAUUGGUCAAUGGUCGGGAGACUGAACCAGCCAAGCCGCGUGAGGGAUGAAGGUACAGAGUAUCGUAAACCUCUUUUGUCAGGGAACAAAGUCGGGGACGUGUCCCCUGAUGAGUGUACCUUAAGAAAAAGCAUCGGCUAACUCCGUGCCAGCAGCCGCGGUAAUACGGAGGAUUCGAGCGUUAUCCGGAUUUAUUGGGUUUAAAGGGUGCGCAGGGGGGUUUGUAAGUCAGGGGUGAAAGUUCCGGGCUCAACCCCAGCCCGGCCUUUGAAACUGGCAGGCGUGAGUUGGAGAGAAGUAUGCGGAAUGCGCGGUGUAGCGGUGAAAUGCAUAGAUAGCGCGAAGAACUCCGAUUGCGAAGGCAGCAUGCCG